rnacentral:lncRNA from 1 species
AGAAGACACAGGAGUUUGUUCUGAAGGCACAGAUGUAUCGUCUGUAGAGCACAAUAAUAAACAAGUGAGUGUCCAGGAUUUGCAGUCGUUUAUUCUGACCCAAAGACUGAAAAAAGGUGUAACUACACAAUCAGCGGGUUCAAAUUACCCCUAAUGAUAACUCCAGUGCCAGGAACUUCAUGCCUCUACGAUUAAACCCUUUUGCACACCAUACACGUCCCGUCCUGUGGAGCCAGUCACGACUACGUGCAGAUACCCACAUCUACUUCUCACUGGAGCUAUGCAAGCUACGUGUCUGCAUUCUGCUCUACUCUGCCUGGACAGAACUCUGCUGCAGAUGAAUGAGGAAGAUGUCCUGCCAGGAAGGAAUGAAGAGGGAUGGCAGCGGUGGCUUGGAUCAACCCUUUACUCCUACUGCUGCCUGCCACGCCAGCUACGUAUGGGCACUCUGC